AUCUCAGCCUCCGUGCUCUCCCCACGGUUAGUUUUUGACUGUAUUUGCAUUCCCUACUCUCUCUCCUCUCUCAGACCCACUUUCCUCUGCUUCUUCUGAAAGCGUCCUGAGUUCUGUAAUUCGAUCUUGCUCUCUCACGCACGGCUUAACCAAUCUUGUUCUCGAAUUGGGUUUUCGUAUACUGGGAUAGAGGAAGAAGUGGUGGAGAUCGAUAAAUUAGCUUUUGGGUAAGACCAGAACAGCAUGCGGUGGUGUCUGAGUCUCUCUGUUGAUGUUUUUCGCAAAGUCAUCUCUUUGAACCUUUACUGUAGAGUUAUUCUGUAAUUGUUCUUUUUUACCGAGCUGUGAGCGUUUAAUAACAAUCCUUCAAUUUUCUUAGUCUUUCUUACCUGAUAUUUUCCAUGGGAUCCACUUUCUUCAUCGUCGUUCCUUGUUAUGUUCGUCAGAUUAGUUGAAUCAGAAAAAUCCGAAACCUUUUGCUGAAGUUCUGUUUCAGUCCAUAUUCAUUUUCUUGUAGUUGGUUAACUUUUGCUUUACAUCAUCAACCCUUUUCAUAUUUUCUCUCUUUCGUUCUCAUUCAUCAACCAACCCUGCUUGUUUUGCUGGUUCAGUCUCUCUUUCUUGUCUAUCAGUCUGCUCAAUCUAGUUUUGGGUUUUGCCGUGUGGUGGAAUUGUUGUUGUUUGGAAGACUGUUCUCAUUCCCAAAAUAUUCAAGUGCCGGGAAGUUGUUUAGUUAUGGUGUGCCAAGCAGCGAGCCAAACAAGAUUUCGGGCUUUGAAACAUGAAAAUGGGAUUGAUGGGAGCGCCACCAUAAUUGUUAGAGUUAUAGCAUGCUUUCAACCUCUCCAGGAUUGCCAGGCUGAAUAUUUUCGUCAUUUGCUCAAACCUGUAACGUAGGAAGAUUCUGCGCUUUUGUGUUCAAGUUUAAGCUGGCGUUUUUAGUUUAUUUCAUUGUUGCUGAAAGAGAGACAUAAAUCAGCUGUUUCUAGUUGUACAUACGUCCUUCUGGUAUUUGUUUUAGUUGGAUGGGUGAAGAUUUUGGAACGUGGAUUCCUCAGCUGCAUCUUGGCUGGCAACCUCCCGAUCCAAAUUCCUUCGGUGCUCCACAUGGCUUGGGGCAACACAACUUCAUUUCUGCAUAUGGUAACCCUGGCCCUAAUAUGCCUGUGCCAAAUGGUACUUCGCCAGCAUAUGCAUCUCCUGAGUUGCCCCAUCCACAAAUUGGCAGACCAAAUGAACCUCACGGUUGGUUCUAUUGCUUACCCCGUAUCAGACAGGCCUUUGUGCCUGCUGCACACUCUGUUCUCAGAGAGAAACUUUCUGCUUGCCGUUAUGAAAGUCCGGGGGACACAUUGGUACCCAAUGCAGACUCUGUCUGUGAACAAAAGAGACUUCUUGUUAACAAUUCGUCAGGGGAUCAAACAACUUUUGUCUUUGGUUCUGGGAUUGUGAAUCCUUUGCUGUGCCGUACUUCUUGGAAUCCAAACCAACAAGGGGCUUAUUAUUUGAACGGGGAUGAUCCUCAAACUGGAAGAGAUUUGAAAAAUCUAUCAGGAGCAAAUUUGACUGAUGAGCUGAAAGGAAACGAUGAAAGUGGUGCUCAAAGUGAGAUGCAUGAAGACACAGAAGAACUGAAUGCCUUGCUCUACUCAGAUGGUGAUAGUGAUUAUACCGAAGAGGACGAUGAAGUUACUAGCACAGGUCAUUCCCCCAGUACAAUGACAGUUCAUGAUAAGAAAAAUUGGUUUGAAGAAAGGACCGAAGAAGUUGCUAGUUCUGCUGGAAUGACUAAAAAGCGGAAGCUAUUUGAUGGAGGUUAUGGUGAGGUACCAUCCAUAAUGGACACUGCGAGUUCCAUGAAACCCAACCGAUCGUUGGAGUUAGAGGAUGAUGCAGAAUCCAGUUGUGCCUGCAACCGAAGUUCUGGGUUCAGAGAAGUGGAUUCCUUAUCCAGCAACAAGAAAAUGAGAAAGGAAAAAAUACGUGAAACUGUGAACAUUCUGCAGAACAUAAUUCCUGGCGGCAAGGGGAAGGAUGCAAUGGUGGUGCUUGACGAAGCCAUCCACUAUUUAAAGUCAUUGAAGCUCAAAGCCAAGGCCUUCGGACUUGAUUCUCUCUGAGUUCGGAUAUGUCCAUUCCAGCAUUGUUUCUAGUGGGCACUUUACUCUUUGUCAUUCUCAAGUAUUGUUGAUUAGUAAUUGUUAACGUGAUUAUUGAAAAUAAGUCCGGUGUACAUGAGUUGCUUGUGGAUAUGGUCUGACAUAAGAGGUUCCAGCUAAGGUGUGGUUAAAUUUGUAGCAGCAAGUGGAGAGGAAGAAGAGCUUGAAUCCCUCCGAAGAGUAUUUCCUCAAUGAUUGGAGUGGGAAAUCAGCAGAGAGUUUUGGUUUUGUGAUAUUUUCUCUCAAAACCAAGGGAAGAAGAAAAGAGAGUGCUUUACAUUAUGCCCCAAUAAAGGGAGGUGAAUGAUUUCUUUUAGGUUUAAGAGAAAGUGACAUCCGCACCUGGGCAUGGGGUGGAUUGAAAGACUUUGUUUAUUCUGAAGAGGGGCCCCAAGAAAGAGAAGAGUGCACGCCCCUUGGGUUGUUUUUGGGUCCCAAACUUCACUUUCUUCACACUUUUUUUGUUUACUUGUCAUGUUCAUCUUGUGUAGGGUUUCUCUCUUCUUUUUUACUUUAUCUGAUUUACAAGUUUGCACGAGCAAGAGAAGGCCUUCUCCACUCCAUCAUGCAACUUGCCAAAAGGGGCCCCAAUUCCAUCUCCAAAACCAACCAUUUUAUGCAAAUUCAAUUCAAGACAGCUAUGUGAACAGAGGCAGCCAAAAAACAAAUAUGGAAAUUUCACUGUAUUGGCACUAUUAUUUGAAGAUUUUACUGUGAUUAUCCUAAGGGUUUUGGUUGAUGUAAAUUUAUGUUGGUUGGUGUUAUUUGUUGUCCUGAUGUAUAUGUACUUACGUCGCAUGCACGCAUUUAUGAUAUUGAGAUAGCGAUGUGUUUGUGUGGAUUCCUUUAGGGUUUUGUUUUGUUCAAAUUAUGUUGUUGCAGAACUCCUUUAAAAUUGUAGAUGAUGGAUGUGAUGUGAUGCUGUUUUGAUGGUGAAGGGACCACUGAGUUUUGCAUUA